GAAUUACUGGGUGUAAAGGGAGCGCAGUCGGGCGAUCAAGUAGUAAGUGAAAUACAUGGGCUCAUCCCAUGAAAUGCUUUCAAAAAUGAUUGUGUCGGGUAGUGCAGAGGUAGUCGGAAUUCUCGGUGUAGCGGUGGAAUGAGUAGAUAUCGGGAGGAACACCUGUGGUGAAGGCGGCAUACUGGGCGCCAACUGACGAUGAGGCUGGUAAGUGUGGGUAGCAUACAGGAUUAGAUACCCUCGUAGUCCUCCCCGUAAUCGAUGAUUAAUAGGUGUUGGAGGAUUGACCCCUUCAGUGCCCCAGUUAACACAAUAAGUAAUCCACCUGGGGAGUACGACCGCAAGGUUGCAACUCAAAUGAAUUGACGGA
rnacentral:rRNA from 1 species